rnacentral:rRNA from 1 species
AGAGUUUGAUCCUGGCUCAGGAUGAACGCUAGCGGCAGGCCUAAUACAUGCAAGACGAACGGUAAGUUUGAUAGCAAUAUUGAACCUAGAGUGUCGUAAGGGUGCGUAACACGUAUGCAAUCUGCCCUCAACAGGAGAAUAGCUCGGGGAAACCCGAAUUAACACUCCAUAAGAUUAUUGGAUGGCAUCAUUUGAUAAUUAAAACUACGGUGGUUGAGGAUGAGCAUGCGCAUGAUUAGUUAGUUGGCGGGGUAAUGGCCCACCAAGACGAUGAUCAUUAGGGGAACUGAGAGGUUGAUCCCCCACACUGGCACUGAGAUACGGGCCAGACUCCUACGGGAGGCAGCAGUAGGGAAUAUUGGACAAUGGGUGCGAGCCUGAUCCAGCCAUGCCGCGUGCAGGAAGACGGCCUUCUGGGUUGUAAACUGCUUUUGCCAGGGGAUAAAAAGAGCGUGCGCGCUUUAUUGAAGGUACCUGGUGAAUAAGCCACGGCUAACUACGUGCCAGCAGCCGCGGUAAUACGUAGGUGGCAAGCGUUGUCCGGAUUUAUUGGGUUUAAAGGGUGCGUAGGCGGUCAUAUAAGUCAGUGGUGAAAUACUUCAGCUCAACUGGAGAGGUGCCAUUGAUACUGUAUGACUUGAGUACAGACGAGGUAGGCGGAAUUGACGGUGUAGCGGUGAAAUGCUUAGAUAUCGUCAAGAACACCGAUAGCGAAGGCAGCUUACUAGACUGUAACUGACGCUGAUGCACGAAAGUGUGGGGAUCAAACAGGAUUAGAUACCCUGGUAGUCC